ACUGGAUUCUCAGAGGGUAAGAGCUACCAGACCUUUCUGAGGGAACACUGCUUCAACAAGACCAGUUCAUCUGGACUGCUACCACCAUGGUUUCAGGAGCUGGAGGACAGAAGUGGAGGUGAGACCUCCCUGGCUCUCACAGGUGCUGACACCAGAGCAGGAUUUCCUGGUCUUGGAUAGUUGGAAUUUGCUCCCUCCAUGCCUUCUCACAUCCCUGCUUCAUCGUCCUUCUGCAACACAUCAACCACCUACAGAGCAGACCAAAGAAGUCUUAAGAGUCUUUUCCACCCUAAACAAUUCUAUGGUUCUGUGACUGUAUGAUAAUGGACAUUCAGGAAGGUCCCCAGUCUCUCCUUUUCCCUGGAGAAGGGAUAUUAAUAAUUCUGGGAGAUUAUUGCAUUAAAGCUGUUUGAGUUCA